rnacentral:rRNA from 1 species
AGCGGCGGACGGGUGAGUAACGCGUGGGUAACCUGCCUCAUACAGGGGGAUAACAGUCAGAAAUGACUGCUAAUACCGCAUAAGACCACGGUACCGCAUGGUACAGUGGUAAAAACUCCGGUGGUAUGAGAUGGACCCGCGUCUGAUUAGGUAGUUGGUGGGGUAACGGCCUACCAAGCCGACGAUCAGUAGCCGACCUGAGAGGGUGACCGGCCACAUUGGGACUGAGACACGGCCCAG